rnacentral:rRNA from 1 species
AACGCUGGGCGGCUGCCUUAAGAUGCGAGUCGGACGGAUCCUUCGGGAUUAGUGGCGGACGGGUAUAACACGUGGGAACGUGCCCUUUGGUUCGGAACAACUCAGGGAAACUUGAGCUAAUACCGGAUGUGCCCUUCGGGGGAAAGAUUUAUCGCCAUUGGAGCGGCCCGCGUCUGAUUAGCUAGUUGGUGGGGUAAAGGCCCACCAAUGCGACGAUCAGUAGCUGGUCUGAGAGGAUGAUCAGCCACAUUGGGACUGAGACACGGUCCAAACUCCUACGGGAGGCAGCAGUGGGGAAUCUUGCGCAAUGGGCGGAAAGCUUGACGCAGCAUGCCGCGUAAUUGAUGACGGCUUAGGAUUGUACAAUCUUUCCACCGGGAAGAUUAUACACGUACCACGAAGAAACACCCACGGUUACUUAAGUGCCACAGCACCAGCGGGUAAUUACCAAAGGGGGGUAACAGUUUAGCCUGAA